GGAGUGGACGAACCUCUGGUGUUCGGGUUGUGUCGCCAGACGCAUUGCCCGGUAGCUAAGUUCGGAAUCGAUAACCGCUGAAAGCAUCUAAGCGGGAAGCGAGCCCUGAGAUGAGUCUUCCCUGAUACUUUAAGUAUCCUAAAGGGUUGUCGGAGACUACGACGUUGAUAGGUCAGGUGUGUAAGUGCUGUGAGGCAUUGAGCUAACUGAUACUAAUUGCCCGUGAGGCUUAACCAUACAACACCCAAGGGGUUU
rnacentral:rRNA from 1 species